GACGAACGCUGGCGGCGUGCUUAACACAUGCAAGUCGAACGGAAAGGCCCUGCUUUUGUGGGGUGCUCGAGUGGCGAACGGGUGAGUAACACGUGAGUAACCUGCCCUUGACUUUGGGAUAACUUCAGGAAACUGGGGCUAAUACCGGAUAGGAGCUCCUGCUGCAUGGUGGGGGUUGGAAAGUUUCGGCGGUUGGGGAUGGACUCGCGGCUUAUCAGCUUGUUGGUGGGGUAGUGGCUUACCAAGGCUUUGACGGGUAGCCGGCCUGAGAGGGUGACCGGGCACAUUGGGACUGAGAUAUGGCCCAGACUCCUACGGGAGGCAGCAGGGGGGAAUAUUGCACAAUGGGCGGAAGCCUGAUGCAGCAACGCCGCGUGCGGGAUGACGGCCUUCGGGUUGUAAACCGCUUUCGCCUGUGACGAAGCGUGAGUGACGGUAAUGGGUAAAGAAGCACCGGCUAACUACGUG
rnacentral:rRNA from 1 species